CCUGGUGGCUCAGAGGUUAAAGCGUCUGCCUGGAAUACAGGAGACCCGGGUUUGAUCCCUGGGUCAGGA
rnacentral:tRNA from 1 species